AUCGCUUCUUGGCCGUUUGACUAAGAUCAAGUGUAAUAUCUGUUCUUAACAGUUUAAUAUUUUUAUCACCCAAGCAGUGUAAAAUAAUGAGGCUCAGCUCUU
rnacentral:snRNA from 1 species